CCAGCACCCCGAGUGGUCGGGACGAUUAUUGGGCCUAAAGCAUCCGUAGCCGGUUUUACAAGUCCUCCGUUAAAUCCAACUGCUUAACAGAUGGGCCGCGGAGGAUACUAUAAGACUAGGAGGCAGGAGAGGCAAGCGGUACUCAGUGGGUAGGGGUAAAAUCCGUUGAUCCAUUGAAGACCACCAGUGGCGAAGGCGGCUUGCCAGAAUGCGCUCGGCGGUGAGGGAUGAAAGCUGGGGGAGCAAACCGGAUUAGAUACCCGGGUAGUCCCAGCUGUAAACGAUGCAGACUCGGUGAUGGACCAGCUUCAUGCUAGUCCAGUGCCGCAGGGAAGCCGUUAAGUCUGCCGCCUGGGUAGUACGGUCGCAAGACUG
rnacentral:rRNA from 1 species